rnacentral:rRNA from 1 species
GACGAACGCUGGCGGCGCGCCUAAUACAUGCAAGUCGAGCGUGAAAAGGGGGGCAACCCUCUGAGUAAAGCGGCGCACGGGUGAGUAACACGUUGGUAAUCUACCCCCGAGUUCGAGAUAACCCCGGGAAACUGGGGCUAAUACCGGAUGAGGCAACUAUAUGGGAGUAUAGUUGUUAAAGGAGCAAUCCGCUUAGGGAUGAGCCUGCGUCCUAUCAGCUAGUUGGCGGUGUAAUGGACCACCAAGGCUAAGACGGUAGCUGGUCUGAGAGGAUGAUCAGCCACACUGGGACUGAGACACGGCCCAGACACCUACGGGUGGCAG